rnacentral:rRNA from 1 species
UACGUAGGGGGCAAGCGUUGUCCGGAUUUAUUGGGCGUAAAGGGCGCGUAGGCGGCCUCCGCAAGUCAGUUGUGAAAUCUCCGAGCUUAACUCGGAAAGGUCAACUGAUACUGCGGGGCUAGAGUGCGGAAGGGGCAACUGGAAUUCUUGGUGUAGCGGUGAAAUGCGUAGAUAUCAAGAGGAACACCUGCGGCGAAGGCGGGUUGCUGGGCCGACACUGACGCUGAGGCGCGAAAGCGUGGGGAGCAAACAGG